GAUUUCCCUGUAAAUUUGUAAAACUUAUGAAUAAAAUAUUGCAUUAGCCGGGUGAUUUUUUAAUUUCUCUAUUGACAACUAGAAAAGUCAAAAUGCGACACUGGUGGGAAAAAUAAGCAACUACAUAUACACAUCAAAAAUCUGGAGCCAUAAAAAUACAUGUGUUUUCAUUCAGUAGCAUUCAAGUUUUUCCCCAAAAACUUAAUCAGAAUCAGAGAAAAGGAGGCAUAAAAAAGAUCCAUUUGAUGCAUAAUAUGAAUUAAUGAAAUAAAUACCUUCUUGCGAGGGAUGCAAUUCUAUGCAAAAGUUGUUAUGUUGUUUCAUCGUGUUUUGGUGCAACCAUGAAUUUUGGAUGAUUCUUUGAAAAAAAGAAACCAUUUUUUAAAUAUAUCAUCGAACAUAUUUUUGGGAGAUGAAACAUAUAAAUUUAAAGCUUUCUAUAUGAGUUGCACUGAAAUCACAGUGUCGGUGAUAAGCACUCACCCUUGUCUGAAAUAUAACAAACAAGAUUAAAUUGAAGUGCCAUUAACUUUAUAAUAUUGACCACCUAAGAACUUUUCGUUCAUAUGACAAAUUUAAAGAACAAAAUGCAAGGAAAACUACCAGAUCACACUUAAACUACACUAGUUGCAACAAGAGCUUCGAUUUUAAUAAUAGUUUUGCUUUAAAUCUAUAGUUUGACCUUUUCUUUUUAUAAAAACAAGUUUUUACUUUUAUUUAAACUGUUGUUUUUACUUUUUAUAAAUAAUUUUAUUAUAGCACUAAUCAAUUUCCAUAUUUAUUUCCACAAUUUCUGAUGCUUGAUGUGUAUAAGUAGUUUCAGCUUCUUUCCGCCAGGGUACAUGGUCCAGUCGUCAAUAGGGAGCGUAUUGGUUUUGAGUCACAAAAUUCGAGGUUUUAAUCAAAACUAACAUUACGAUGAUGGAGAAGUUCAAAAAAGUGCGUCACGACGACGACGCUCGUCACUUCCAUCUGUACAUGAAGCUGCAGCCUAAACUGGGGGAUCGUUUUUUUUUUUUUUUUAAUUUGGUGCAAGGUCUUUUUUUUUAAUAUCACUUAUAUCGUUUUCCUUCACUCCAGUGAGAGUACCCUUUUAGUAUGGACUUAUUUUUGCACUUUUGGAGGUUUUGUGUUCCUUUAUAUAAUAUACAUACAGUUUUAUUUAGACAAAUAUCGUCAAUAAAAAUGAUAUUGACUUUAUUUGAUUCAAUUGUUUGCGAAUUCUUUUUGAAUUAAUGUAAUUAUCCCGCACUCGCUACCUUAAAGCUUUGGCAAAAAAAAAAAAAAACAUCCAACACAAAUGGAGAACAAAUGGCGCACUUUUUAUGUAUUGUAUUGUAUUAUUAUUACCUUAGUGUAAGGUAAAAUUUAUUCAUGGAAUAGUUAAAUUUCUAAAAUAUGUUUUACUAGAAUCUUAAAGUGAAAAGAUUCAUACACUUUUUUGGUUGAAGGUAUAUUUGACUCUACGUAAAGGAAAUAUUGCUACCCGUAAGGUAUAUACUACUUUAAUUUGUUAACCAAUAAUUUGAUUAUAAAAAUUACUUUACGGAUCCAAGAAAUGUUCAAUACGUAAGGUAAAAUUUACUUAAAAUCUAGGGCUUUUUACUUUAAUUACCUUACUAGUCAUAUGGAGUAUAAAAUACUAUAUUCAUUUUUCUCCGUGUAGAAGUAAAACGAGUCAUUUUACCUAAGGGAGGGUUCAAUCAGGAGAAAACCUUAAGCCAGAACCAUAAUUGGAGGAUGGAGUCGGAAGCUACUGUCAAUUGUUGUUGUUUUCUUUGUAUUUUCCACAAGUUUUCAUCCGUCGAGUGCGGUUGCGAGCGCUGUUCCCCUCCGUUUGCAUCCGACUAUCCGACAAUUAUAGUUCUGGCUUUACACGUACACGAAAGAUAAAAUGAGUCGACAUGACAUAAUUUGCACAGCGAAAAAAAUUGUUCUGUUUGUGGAUUGGAUUGCGGUUGUGUUGUUGGGCAGCUGUUUGCUCAGUGGAGACGCUGUGUAUGAAGAAGCGCCCCUCCUUGAAAGGAAGUUUCGAGAAGCAAAGACGAGAACCUUCGGAGACAUACUCGAAUUUCGAAAUAUUUGUAUAAAUAGAUGGCGCGGACACGGAAACGACACAGUUUAACCCUUCAAGCAAGAAAACGGAGUCCAGAAAAGACACUCCGACCUCCGACCGAGAAAAUUUACGUUGGGAAAAAAAACCAACCCUUUUACCCGAAGGUACACUAAUGCAUCCGGAUGUGAUGCGAAUGACUGGGAAUCAACAGCAUAAUAACGAAUCAGCAGGAGAUAUCAACAAAGGAUAUCAACUAAGUGGAGGGAGUACUGGACAUCCAAAAGUGCACCAACAACAGCAGUAACAACAAAUGAAAAGAUUUAUUUUAUUUAAUAUUUAUUUUAAUAUUGUAUUUAUUGUAAUUUCUUUUGCUAAAAAAACAAUAAAAUAAAAAAAAAAAA